GGCGAACGCUGGCGGCAGGCUUAACACAUGCAAGUCGAGCGGGCACCUUCGGGUGUCAGCGGCAGACGGGUGAGUAACACGUGGGAACGUGCCCUUUGGUUCGGAACAACUCCGGGAAACUGGAGCUAAUACCGGAUAAGCCCUUCGGGGAAAGAUUUAUCGCCAAGGAUCGGCCCGCGUCUGAUUAGCUAGUUGGUGAGGUAAAGGCUCACCAAGGCGACGAUCAGUAGCUGGUCUGAGAGGAUGAUCAGCCACACUGGGACUGAGACACGGCCCAGACUCCUACGGGAGGCAGCAGUGGGGAAUAUUGGACAAUGGGCGGCAAGCCUGAUCCAGCCAUGCCGCGUGAGUGAUGAAGGCCCUAGGGUUGUAAAGCUCUUUUGUCCGGGAAGAUAAUGACUGUACCGGAAGAAUAAGCCCCGGCUAACUUCGUGCCAGCCGCCGCCGUAAU
rnacentral:rRNA from 1 species